rnacentral:rRNA from 1 species
UACUGUGGUCAUACCAGCUGGUCAUUGCCUGAUCUCGUUGAUCUCAGAAGCUAAGCAGGUCUGGGCCUGGUUAGUAGUUGGAUGGGAGACCACUGAGAAUUCCAGGUGUCACAGUGG